rnacentral:rRNA from 1 species
CCUACGGUGGGCAGCAGUCGAGAAUCAUUCACAAUGGGGGAAACCCUGAUGGUGCGACGCCGCGUGGGGGAAUGAAGGUCUUCGGAUUGUAAACCCCUGUCAUGUGGGAGCAAAUUAAAAAGAUAGUACCACAAGAGGAAGAGACGGCUAACUCUGUGCCAGCAGCCGCGGUAAUACAGAGGUCUCAAGCGUUGUUCGGAAUCACUGGGCGUAAAGCGUGCGGAGGCUGUUUCGUAAGUCGUGUGUGAAAGGCGCGGGCUCAACCCGCGAACGGCAAAUGAUACUGCGAGACUAGAGUAAUGGGGGGGGACCGGGAGUCUUCGGUGUAGGAGGGAA